rnacentral:rRNA from 1 species
CACGUAGGGGGCAAGCGUUGUCCGGAAUCAUUGGGCGUAAAGAGCUCGUAGGCGGCUCAGUAAGUCGGGUGUGAAACCUCCAGGCUCAACCUGGAGACGCCACCCGAUACUGCUGUGGCUAGAGUCCAGUAGGGGAGUGUGGAAUUCCUGGUGUAGCGGUGAAAUGCGCAGAUAUCAGGAAGAACACCCGUGGCGAAGGCGGCUCUCUGGGACGGUACUGACGCUGAGACGCGAAAAGCGUGGGGAGCGAACAGG